UGAUGCAGCAACGCCGCGUGAGGGAUGACGGCCUUCGGGUUGUAAACCUCUUUUAGCAGGGAAGAAGCGAAAGUGACGGUACCUGCAGAAAAAGCGCCGGCUAACUACGUGCCAGCAGCCGCGGUAAUACGUAGGGCGCAAGCGUUAUCCGGAAUUAUUGGGCGUAAAGAGCUCGUAGGCGGUUUGUCGCGUCUGCUGUGAAAUCCGGAGGCUCAACCUCCGGCCUGCAGUGGGUACGGGCAGACUAGAGUGCGGUAGGGGAGAUUGGAAUUCCUGGUGUAGCGGUGGAAUGCGCAGAUAUCAGGAGGAACACCGAUGGCGAAGGCAGAUCUCUGGGCCGUAACUGACGCUGAGGAGCGAAAGGGUGGGGAGCAAACAGGCUUAGAUACCCUGGUAGUCCACCCCGUAAACGUUGGGAACUAGUUGUGGGGUCCAUUCCACGGAUUCCGUGACGCAGCUAACGCAUUAAGUUCCCCGCCUGGGGAGUACGGCCGCAAGGCUAAAACUCAAAGGAAUUGACGGGGACCCGCACAAGCGGCGGAGCAUGCGGAUUAAUUCGAUGCAACGCGAAGAACCUUACCAAGGCUUGACAUAUACGAGAACGGGCCAGAAAUGGUCAACUCUUUGGACACUCGUAAACAGGUGGUGCAUGGUUGUCGUCAGCUCGUGUCGUGAGAUGUUGGGUUAAGUCCCGCAACGAGCGCAACCCUCGUUCUAUGUUGCCAGCACGUAAUGGUGGGAACUCAUGGGAUACUGCCGGGGUCAACUCGGAGGAAGGUGGGGAUGACGUCAAAUCAUCAUGCCCCUUAUGUCUUGGGCUUCACGCAUGCUACAAUGGCCGGUACAAAGGGCUGCAAUACCGCGAGGUGGAGCGAAUCCCAAAAAGCCGGUCCCAGUUCGGAUUGAGGUCUGCAACUCGACCUCAUGAAGUCGGAGUCGCUAGUAAUCGCAGAUCAGCAACGCUGCGGUGAAUACGUUCCCGGGUCUUGUACACACCGCCCGUCAAGUCAUGAAAGUCGGUAACACCUGAAGCCGGUGGCCUAACCCUUGUGGAGGGAGCCGUCGAAGGUGGGAUCG
rnacentral:rRNA from 1 species